rnacentral:rRNA from 1 species
CAUGGUCUUUGGAUUAUUAUUUAAGAUUUGACCUGCCCGCUGAAUUUUUGAAUGGCCGCGGUAUUUUGACCGUGCAAAGGUAGCAUAAUAAUUAGUUUCUUGAUUAGAAGCUGGAAUGAAUGGUUGGACGAGAAAGUUUCUGUCUCUUAUUAAUUUUAAUAGAAUUUUAUUUUUGAGUUAAAAAGCUUAAAUUUUUGUGAAAGACGAGAAGACCCUAUAGAGUUUUAUAAUUACUUAAUUUUUUAACUAUAGGGAUUAAAUUUUAAUAGUUCUUUAAUUAUUUGAUUGGGGUGAUUAAAAGAUUUAAUUAACUCUUUUUUUAUUUUUUCACUAAUAUGUGAUUUAUUGAUCCAAUGUUUUUGAUUAAAAGAUUAAAUUACCUUAGGGAUAACAGCGUAAUCUUUUUGGAGAGUUCUUAUCGAUAAGAAGGUUUGCGACCUCGAUGUUGGAUUAAAGUUAAUUUUUGGUGUAGAAGCUUUGAAAUUGAGUCUGUUCGACUUUUAAAACUUUACAUGAUCUGAGU